AAGAAAGUGGCAGAGUGGUUAUGUGGCUGGCUUGAAACUAGCUUAUUGGGGUUCAAUUCCCUUCUUUCUCG
rnacentral:tRNA from 3 species